UACGGAGGGAGCUAGCGUUGUUCGGAAUUACUGGGCGUAAAGCGCGCGUAGGCGGCUUUGCAAGUUAGAGGUGAAAGCCCGGAGCUCAACUCCGGAACUGCCUUUAAAACUGCAUAGCUUGAAUCCGGGAGAGGUGAGUGGAAUUCCGAGUGUAGAGGUGAAAUUCGUAGAUAUUCGCAAGAACACCAGUGGCGAAGGCGGCUCACUGGCCCGGUACUGACGCUGAGGCACGAAAGCGUGGGGAGCAAACAGG
rnacentral:rRNA from 1 species